GGGUUGGUGUAACCACUGGGGGUUUCAAGCGGCUGCAAACUUUCUUUUGAAAUGGCGAUCAGGAAAAUGCAAACUCCUUGACUUGACUUUAGGAACUGGGAUUUUAAGGAAAGCUGCUGAGAGUUGCAGCUUUCAGAUACUGAAGAAAAUGGAGGCGGCAGGUAAUGACAAGGGAUGCCGUGACCGAAUGGGAGAGGAGUGCCUCUAAACAAGGAUUGGCCAGCCAGCAGCAACUCUGCCUGCCCUCACAGCCGCCAUUUUGUUGGGCUUUCAGCCAUAGCUGCUGCCCUGCCAUAAAAGAGCGGGAAAAAAGAUGCUGAGGUGCGGCUGCUGGAAAGCUGCAUUGCUGCGGUGGUCCCUCAUCAGUGCCAGCAGCUGUGAGCCUUCAGCAGGACCUUGAUGGGGCUCAGCUGCUAUAGCCUUGCUUCAGCCUUUAUCAUGAGGAUUCAUGAGUGAUUUGGGGGAGAUGGUUCUGCAAUACUUGGUCCUGUGUGAGUGAUGUGUUGAUCAGAAGGCAACAGAUCUUGCCACUGGAGUAAGUGAUAUUACUCACCUGAGUAAAGGCUGUGUGAUGAGGCUUAACAUGAAGAUGGAAGAAGAAAGGGUCCGAGAGUUUGUUUUCUGCCCUGAAGAGUCAACACAAUGGCAACUCUGCUAAACCAAAUGCCAGGUCUGGGAAGCUGAACCUUGCAUAGACCAUUGAUGGCCUAUGAAUCUCCAGGAAGAAAAGAAGGGAUUAGCUUAUAAGAAGUCAUUGAUUGUAUACUGGUAUGUCUAUGGAUUAUUUUUCUCAACAACUAAAUUUCAGAUGAAAAACCUUUUGAAGUGAACCAUGGAGAUACUGGGGAUGGGAUGGAGGGACUUCUAGUGCUACUACCUGAAUGAUACCUGGGCUGCAUGAUAUGUUCCCCUAGAGCAUGUCAUAUGGCUAUGAUCAUUGGACAGACUUUCCCUCUUAUCUUGCUUAGAUUACAACUUUCUGCUGUUCCUGAUUCUCUAGACUCCUCUAGACUAUUCCUAAGAUAAAGUUUUUCAGAGUGAA